GACCGCGUAGCUCAGUUGGAAGAGCAAUCAUUGGCGUAGUAUUCCAAAGAUCGUAGAUUCGAAUCCCACCGUGGCCG